rnacentral:rRNA from 1 species
GAUGAACGCUGGCGGCGUGCCUAAUACAUGCGAGUCGAGCGAACAGAUAAGGAGCUUGCUCCUUUGACGUUAGCGGCGGACGGGUGAGUAACACGUGGGUAACCUACCUAUAAGACUGGAAUAACUCCGGGAAACCGGGGCUAAUGCCGGAUAACAUUUAGAACCGCAUGGUUCUAAAGUGAAAGAUGGUUUUGCUAUCACUUAUAGAUGGACCCGCGCCGUAUUAGCUAGUUGGUAAGGUAACGGCUUACCAAGGCAACGAUACGUAGCCGACCUGAGAGGGUGAUCGGCCACACUGGAACUGAGACACGGUCCAGACGCCUACGGUAGGCAGCAGUAGGGAAUCUUCCGCAAUGGGCGAAAGCCUGACGGAGCAACGCCGCGUGAGUUAUGAAGGUCUUCGGAUCGUAAAACUCUGUUAUUAGGGAAGAACAAAUGUGUAAGUAACUGUGCACGUCUUGACGGUACCUAAUCAGAAAGCCACGGCUAACUACGUG